rnacentral:rRNA from 1 species
GGCGAACGGGUGAGUAACACGUGGGUGAUCUGCCCUGCACUUCGGGAUAAGCCUGGGAAACUGGGUCUAAUACCGGAUAGGACGAUGGUUUGGAUGCCAUUGUGGAAAGUUUUUCGGUGUGGGAUGAGCUCGCGGCCUAUCAGCUUGUUGGUGGGGUAAUGGCCUACCAAGGCGUCGACGGGUAGCCGGCCUGAGAGGGUGUACGGCCACAUUGGGACUGAGAUACGGCCCAG